GUGCACCUCACCUAAUAGUUAUUGGUGACACAUGAACCAAUAAGUGGACAAUACUUUGUCCAUUACUUCACCAAGCAAGAUGCAGCAUAUUCGAUCUCUAAGUCCCGUGACCUCACCUAACAGUUAUUGGCUCAUUUCUUAGUUAAGUCAAACCCACCAUUCACCAGUGAGUGCAGAGCCAUUAUUGGAUCUCUCACCUAACAG
rnacentral:lncRNA from 1 species